rnacentral:tRNA from 1 species
GUGAGUGUAGCUCAGUGGUAGAGCAUUUGCCCAGAAUGUAAAAGGCCCUAAGUUCAAUUCCCAGCACUGAAA